AUGGCAUAAGCCAGCUUGACUGCGAGCGUGACGGCGCGAGCAGGUGCGAAAGCAGGUCAUAGUGAUCCGGUGGUUCUGAAUGGAAGGGCCAUCGCUCAACGGAUAAAAGGUACUCCGGGGAUAACAGGCUGAUACCGCCCAAGAGUUCAUAUCGACGGCGGUGUUUGGCACCUCGAUGUCGGCUCAUCACAUCCUGGGGCUGAAGUAGGUCCCAAGGGUAUGGCUGUUCGCCAUUUAAAGUGGUACGCGAGCUGGGUUUAGAACGUCGUGAGACAGUUCGGUCCCUAUCUGCCGUGGGCGCUGGAGAACUGAGGGGGGCUGCUCCUAGUACGAGAGGACCGGAGUGGACGCAUCACUGGUGUUCGGGUUGUCAUGCCAAUGGCACUGCCCGGUAGCUAAAUGCGGAAGAGAUAAGUGCUGAAAGCAUCUAAGCACGAAACUUGCCCCGAGAUGAGUUCUCCCUGACUCCUUGAGAGUCCUGAAGGAACGUUGAAGAC
rnacentral:rRNA from 1 species